AAGUCGUAACAAGGUCUCCGUUGGUGAACCAGCGGAGGGAUCAUUACAGAGUACUCGCUCUAUAAAACCCACUAUGAACUUACCUUUAUUGUUGCCUCGGCGGGCGGCUCCAGGGCGGAGCCAAGGCCUCUUCGCUGAGGUGCCCGCCGAAGGCCCAACUAAAACACUGCUGUAGUUGGCAUCUGAGUCAAAACACAAUAAGUUAAAACUUUCAACAACGGAUCUCUUGGUUCUG
rnacentral:misc_RNA from 1 species